rnacentral:rRNA from 1 species
AUUGAACGCUGGCGGCAUGCCUUACACAUGCAAGUCGGACGGUAGCGGGCCUUCGGGUGCCGACGAGUGGCGAACGGGUGAGUAAUAUAUCGGAACGUACCUUUCAGUGGGGGAUAACGUAGCGAAAGUUACGCUAAUACCGCAUAUUCUGUGCGCAGGAAAGCAGGGGACCUUCGGGCCUUGCGCUGAUUGAGCGGCCGAUAUCAGAUUAGCUAGUUGGUGAGGUAAAGGCUCACCAAGGCGACGAUCUGUAGCGGGUCUGAGAGGAUGAUCCGCCACACUGGAACUGAGACACGGUCCAGACUCCUACGGGAGGCAGCAGUGGGGAAUUUUGGACAAUGGGGGCAACCCUGAUCCAGCCAUGCCGCGUGAGUGAAGAAGGCCUUCGGGUUGUAAAGCUCUUUCGGCCGGGAAGAAAUCGUAUGGGCUAAUACCCUGUGCGGAUGACGGUACCGGCAUAAGAAGCACCGGCUAACUACGUGCCAGCAGCCGCCGUAAUAC